CUUUUAAAGGAUAAUAGAUAAUCCACUGGCCUUAGGAGCCAUUAAUCUUGGUGCAACUCCAAGUAAAAGCU
rnacentral:tRNA from 1 species